rnacentral:rRNA from 1 species
GACGAACGCUGGCGGCGUGCCUAAUACAUGCAAGUCGAACGCUUUUUCUUUCACCGGAGCUUGCUCCACCGAAAGAAAAAGAGUGGCGAACGGGUGAGUAACACGUGGGUAACCUGCCCAUCAGAAGGGGAUAACACUUGGAAACAGGUGCUAAUACCGUAUAACACUAUUUUCCGCAUGGAAGAAAGUUGAAAGGCGCUUUUGCGUCACUGAUGGGUGGACCCGCGGUGCAUUAGCUAGUUGGUGAGGUAACGGCUCACCAAGGCAACGAUGCAUAGCCGACCUGAGAGGGUGAUCGGCCACACUGGGACUGAGACACGGCCCAGACUCCUACGGGAGGCAGCAGUAGGGAAUCUUCGGCAAUGGACGAAAGUCUGACCGAGCAACGCCGCGUGAGUGAAGAAGGUUUUCGGAUCGUAAAACUCUGUUGUUAGAGAAGAACAAGGAUGAGAGUAGAACGUUCAUCCCUUGA